GACAGAGGUGCCGAGCGUUAGGCGGAAUCACUGGGCUUAAAGCGUGUGUAGGCGGUUUUGUAAGCCAGAUGUGAAAUCCCCGGGCUUAACCUGGGAAUGGCAUUUGGGACUGCAAAGCUGGAGUACGGCAGAGGGAGGUGGAAUUCCACGUGUAGCAGUGAAAUGCGUAGAGAUGUGGAGGAACACCGAUGGCGAAGGCAGCCUCCUGGGCUAGUACUGACGCUCAUGCACGAAAGCGUGGGGAGCAAACAGG
rnacentral:rRNA from 1 species